CAAAGAGUCUACCAUGAGGAUUAGAUUGCCUAUAGUUUCUAUCAAAGGCCCUACCAUUAUGAUCAUAAUGCUCAAAAUGAGGAUCUUGUCUAAAAUGUAUAUUUGGUGUUACAUCAAGAACAUGCUCAUCAUAACCAAUAUGUGUCCUUUCUUCAAAGUGCAAAAGCAUAUUACCAACAGGAUUAAAUCUCACUUGUUUUGUUGCUGCAUCCUGCAUUACUACCCCUAUGUGAUGCAUUUUGUGCACCCAGUGUAUAAACUACAGUAGGUACGGACUUAACAGAAUAAGGUGACCCUAGGUGUAGCUUAACAGACCCUUCUUCCAUUGCAAUUGGUUUGCCCAUACCUUUCAGAUGUUCAACAAUUUGUUCCAUUUGUCUCUUUAAUUCAACAAAUUCAGGCUAAUUAUGUAAUGUGGAAUUAGGUGGUGGGUAUGAGGUAGAGGCAUGGUACUUAUAUUUAGUCAUAAUGGAUGCUAAGCA
rnacentral:misc_RNA from 1 species